CGAACGUGGGUAACCUGCCUUAUAUGGGGGAUAGCCUUCGAAAGGAAGAUUAAUACCGCAUAAGAUUGUAGUAUCGCAUGAUAUAGCAAUUAAAGGAGCAAUUCGCUAUAAGAUGGACCCGCGUCGCAUUAGCUAGUUGGUGAGGUAAUGGCUCACCAAGGCGACGAUGCGUAGCCGACCUGAGAGGGUGAUCGGCCACAUUGGGACUGAGACACGGCCCAGACUCCUACGGGAGGCAGCAUG
rnacentral:rRNA from 1 species